CCUACGGGUGGCAGCAGUGGGGAAUAUUGCACAAUGGGGGAAACCCUGAUGCAGCGACGCCGCGUGAGUGAAGAAGUAAUUCGUUAUGUAAAGCUCUAUCAGCAGGGAAGAAAAUGACGGUACCUUAGUAAGAAUACCCGGCUAACUACGUGCCAGCAGCCGCGGUAGGACGUAGGGGGCCAGCGUUAUCCGGAUUUACUGGGUGUAAAGGGAGCGUAGGCGGUUUUGCAAGUCAGAAGUGAAAGCCCGGGGCUCAACUCCGGGACUGCUUUUGAUACUGUUGAACUAGAUUGCAGGAGAGGUAAGUGGAAUGCGUGGUGUAGCGGUGAAAUGCGUAGAUAUUAGGAGGAACACCAGUGGCGAAGGCGGCUUACUGGACUGUAAAUGACGCUGAGGCUCGAAAGCGUGGGGAGCAAACAGGAUUAGAUACCCGGGUAGUC
rnacentral:rRNA from 1 species